AUACGGAGGGUGCAAGCGUUACUCGGAAUCACUGGGCGUAAAGCGCGCGCAGGCGGGCUGAUAAGUUGGAUGUGAAAGCCUACGGCUCAACCGUAGAACUGCAUCCAAAACUGUCAGGCUAGAGUGUGGGAGAGGAAGAUGGAAUUAGUUGUGUAGGGGUAAAAUCCGUAGAGAUAACUAGGAAUACCAAAAGCGAAGGCAAUCUUCUGGAACACUACUGACGCUGAGGCGCGAAGGCGUGGGGAGCAAACAGGAUUAGAAACCCCAGUAGUCC
rnacentral:rRNA from 1 species